UAGGUGGCAAGCGUUGUCCGGAUUUACUGGGCGUAAAGGGCGUGCAGGCGGUUUGUUAAGUUCAGGGUGAAAGCUCCCGGCUCAACUGGGAGAGGUCCUUGGAUACUGGCAGACUUGAGGAGGGUAGAGGAGAGUGGAAUUCCCGGUGUAGUGGUGAUAUGCGUAGAUAUCGGGAGGAACACCAGUGGCGAAGGCGGCUCUCUGGGCCCUACCUGACGCUGAGACGCGAAAGCGUGGGGAGCGAACCGG
rnacentral:rRNA from 1 species